GCCCUCACAAGAUUAAUUCAGCUAUUCUUAGUGAUUAGAGUUUGUAUAUAUCACUUACAUAAUUUUAUACCUAUUGAUAUUGUUUCCCUAUGAGAUUGGAAGUAAAAAUUUGUCUAAGAACAAUGCCUGCUGGCUCUCAGGAUACUUGACCUACUUAAAAGUCUACGGCUUAUGUUUAUAUAUUGGAGUUGAAAUAGAAAUUUUAGUUCAGAUUAGAAUGAGAAAUUUUAUAAGUUCUAUUUAGAGAAACCAACUCUAAAACUAGUUUCACAGUUGAAUAGGUCUCUGUUUCAACUCCUUUACCUCUCUAGUUUUUAGUUUAUAUCAGCAAAGUUUAAAUAACUUUACAGGGCCCUGCAGCGAUCCAUAUAAAGUAUAUUAUUAGAGGGGAACUAAUCUUACUGCUAAGCAGUGUGUUAUAUUGCCC
rnacentral:lncRNA from 1 species